CUCCGUUGGUGAACCAGCGGAGGGACAUUACAGAGUCGUAAAAAACUCCCAAACCCAUGUGAACUUACCUUUGUUGCCUCGGCGGACCUACCCGGUACCUACCCUGUAGCUACCCGGGAGCCGUCGAAGGACCAUUAAACUCUUGUUAUUAUAUAUGAAUCUGAGCGUCUUAUUAAAUAAGUCAAAACUUUCAACAACGGAUCUCUUGGUUCUGGCAUCGAUGAAGAACGCAGCGAAAUGCGAUAAGUAAUGUGAAUUGCAGAAUUCAGUGAAUCAUCGAAUCUUUGAACGCACAUUGCGCCCAUUAGUAUUCUAUUGGGCAUGCCUGUUCGAGCGUCAUUUCAACCCUUAAGCCUAGCUUAGUAUUGGGAAUCUACUGUGAGCGGUGCUACCCUGUAGCUACCCUGUAGUUCCUCAAAUCGAMCGGCGGAGUUCUAUUCCCUCUGAGCGCAGUAAUUACUUAUAACGCUAUGGAAGUGGUAGAGUUCCCAGCCGUAAAACACCCCAAUUUUUAAUGGUUGACCUCAGAUCAGGUAGGAAUACCCGCUGAAC
rnacentral:rRNA from 1 species